AUCGCUUCUCGGCCUUUUGGCUAAGAUCAAGUGUAUAAGACCUAUAAUCUAAAAUUUUCACUAACCAUAAUCAGAAUAAUGUAUGGGAGAUAUUUAGUUCAUAUAUGGAAAAUCAUCCACAUUUUUAAAAAAAUGCUUUGAAGAACCUUUU
rnacentral:snRNA from 1 species